GGUGUAUUUACUCUCCGUCAGCCCGCCCAGUCACAGUUACUGCACUCCAACCUGGACGUUGUGGAACACAGCGCCAUCUAAUGGUGUAUUUACUAGUCUAAAUAAUAAGUGUCACAAUAUCUCGCCUAAAUUCUUCCUUUAUUCUCAAAAUUAUACAUUUCAGAAAUGACAGCAAAAUUUAGUUGGUAGGAAAAGAGACUUAAAAAGUGACUACCGGUAGUUUCAAAUAUAAAUAUGAAAUAAGAUUCCAAGGCAAUGUCUGAUGUAAACACUAACCGGUUUGUGUAUCAACCACAAGAAACACCAAGACACAAUAAGCACAGGAUACAGGAUUAUAUAUCUCUCAAAUAAAUGCAGAAAGAUUUCCAAGGCAAACGUGCUACUUUUUGCACUAUAAUACCUCGGCAAUGUCCCAUUCAACAAGGUCAAUCGUGCUUGUCUAUCAGAUAAUAGGAGGAAAGCUUUUUUAGUCACAAAGAAAAGGGACUACAUUAUAUACAUUACACUAUAUAUCUAACAAAACUCCAUAUACACUAGGACUGUACAGCCUAACCAUAUGUAUUCUAGAAGCCGGCACAAAGUCAUUUUAAUUGGGCAGAAUAGAUUUCAUCAGUCUAGUGUUACCUAGAUCAGCUCGGUAGGGAGACUGCCUUGGGUCUCUCUUCCUACUGAAUAAUAUAGACAGGACCAGCUGUGAUUUUUGUAUAUGAAUUUGUAAAUUCACAAUUGGAGCUAUACUGUUAUAUACUAUUUUUUUCUGUAAUAUGUCCAACAGCACAGACCAUCACCCGGCAGUUGGAGGCACAGACAAGGAAUUCCUUAGCCCCCUCUCUGUGUCGCCCUGCAGUGGGAGGGAUAGGCAUGGAGUUUCAUAGCUCCCCUCUCUGGGUCGCCCUGCAGUGGGAGGGAUAGGCAUGGAGUUUCAUAGCUCCCCUCUCUGUGUCGCCCUGCAGUGGGAGGGAUAGGCAUGGAGUUUCAUAGCUCCCCUCUCUGUGUCGCCCUGCAGUGGGAGGGAUAGGCAUGGAGUUUCAUAGCUCCCCUCUCUGUGUCGCCCUGCAGUAGGAGGGAUAGGCAUGGAGUUUCAUCGCCAUCGCUCCCCUCUCUGUGUCGCCCUGCAGUGGGAGGGAUAGGCAUGGAGUUUCAUCGCUCCCCUCUCUGUGUCGCCCUGCAGUGGGAGGGAUAGGCAUGGAGUUUCAUCGCUCCCCUCUCUGUGUCGCCCUGCAGUGGGAGGGAUAGGCAUGGAGUUUCAUCGCUCCCCUCUCUGUGUCGCCCUGCAGUGGGAGGGAUAGGCAUGGAGUUUCAUCGCUCCCUUCUCUGUGUCCCCUGCAGUGGGAGGGAUAGGCAUGGAGUUUCAUAGCUCCCCUCUCUGUGUCGCCCUGCAGUGGAGAGGAUAUAGGCAUGGAGUUUCAUAGCAUCCCCUCUCUGUGUGCCCUGCAGUGGGAGGGAUAGGCAUGGAGUUUCAUAGCUCCCCUCUCUGUCGCCCUGCAGUGGGAGGGAUAGGCAUGGAGUUUCAUAGCUCCCCUCUCUGUGUCGCCCUGCAGUAGGAGGGAUAGGCAUGGAGUUUCAUCGCCAUCGCUCCCCUCUCUGUGUCGCCCUGCAGUGGGAGGGAUAGGCAUGGAGUUUCAUCGCUCCCCUCUCUGUGUCGCCCUGCAGUGGGAGGGAUAGGCAUGGAGUUUCAUAGCUCCUCU